rnacentral:rRNA from 1 species
ACCGUGGUAAUUCUAGAGCUAAUACAUGCCGAAAAUCCCGACUCGCGAAGGGAUGUAUUUAUUAGAUAAAAAGCCAACGCCCCUUCGGGGGGCUUCUCGGUGAUUCAUGAUAACUCUACGAAUCGCAUGGCCUUGCGCCGGCGAUGGUUCAUUCAAAUUUCUGCCCUAUCAACUUUCGAUUGCAGGGUAUUGGCCUGCAAUGGUUUCAACGGGUAACGGGGAAUUAGGGUUCGAUUCCGGAGAGGGAGCCGGAGGAACGGCUACCACAUCCAAGGAAGGCAGCAGGCGCGCAAAUUACCCAAUCCCCACAUGGGGGAGGUAGUGACAAUACAUACUGAUACAGGGCUCUUUUGGGUCUUGUAAUUGGAAUGAGUACAAUCUAAACACCUUAACGAGGAACAAUUGGAGGGCAAGUCUGGUGCCAGCAGCCGCGGUAAUUCCAGCUCCAAUAGCGUAUAUUAAAGUUGUUGCAUUUAAAAAGCUCGUAGUUGAACCUCGGGCUUGGCCAGCCGGUCCGCCUCACCGCGUGCACUGGUCCGGCCGGGCCUUUCCUCCCGGGGAACCGCGGACCCUUUACGGGGCCCGUCGGGGAGCCGGGACUUUUACUUUGAAAAAAUUAGAGUGUUCAAAGCAGGCAUUCGCUCGCAUACAUUAGCAUGGAAUAAUGGAAUAGGACGCGCGGUCCUAUUUCGUUGGUUUCUAGGACCGCCGUAAUGAUUAAUAGGGAUAGUCGGGGGCAUCCGUAUUGAGUUGUCAGAGGUGAAAUUCUUGGAUUUGCUCAAGACGAACUACUGCGAAAGCAUUUGCCAAGGAUGUUUUCAUUAAUCAGGAACGAAAGUUAGGGGAUCGAAGACGAUCAGAUGCCGUCGUAGUCUUAACCAUAAACUAUGCCGACCAGGGAUCGGGCGAUGUUUCUUUGAUGACUCGCUCGGCACCUUGCGAGAAAUCAAAAGUCUUUGGGUUAUGGGGGGAGUAUGGUCGCAAGGCUGAAACUUAAAGAAAUUGACGGAAGGGCACCACCAGGAGUGGAGCCUGCGGCUUAAUUUGACUCAACACGGGGAAACUUACCAGGUCCAGACGACAAGUAGGAUUGACAGAUUGAGAGCUCUUUCUUGAUUUUGCGGUGAGUGGUGCAUGGCCGUUCUUAGUUCGUGGAGUGAUUUGUCUGCUUAAUU